rnacentral:rRNA from 1 species
UGGGGAAUUUUGGACAAUGGGGGCAACCCUGAUCCAGCCAUGCCGCGUGAGUGAAGAAGGCCUUCGGGUUGUAAGCUCUCUCGGCCGGGAAGAAAUCGCCAUCUCUAACAUAGGUGGUGGAUGACGGUACCGGAAUAAGAAGCACCGGCUAACUACGUG